CAGAGCGAACGCUGGCGGCAGGCUUAAUACAUGCAAGUCGAGCGGGCGUAGCAAUACGUCAGCGGCAGACGGGUGAGUAACGCGUGGGAACGUGCCCUUUGGUUCGGAACAACACAGGGAAACUUGUGCUAAUACCGGAUAAGCCCUUACGGGGAAAGAUUUAUCGCCGAAGGAUCGGCCCGCGUCUGAUUAGCUAGUUGGUGAGGUAAUGGCUCACCAAGGCGACGAUCAGUAGCUGGUCUGAGAGGAUGAUCAGCCACACUGGGACUGAGACACGGCCCAGACUCCUACGGGAGGCAGCAGUAGGGAAUAUUGGACAAUGGGGGCAACCCUGAUCCAGCCCAUGCCGCGUGAGUGAUGAAGGCCUUAGGGUUGUAAAGCUCUUUUGUGCGGGAAGAUAAUGACGGUACCGCAAGGAUAAGCCCCGGCUAACUUCGUGCCAGCAGCAGC
rnacentral:rRNA from 1 species